rnacentral:rRNA from 1 species
GAUGAACGCUGGCGGCGUGCCUAAUACAUGCAAGUCGAGCGAACAGAUAAGGAGCUUGCUCCUUUGACGUUAGCGGCGGACGGGUGAGUAACACGUGGGUAACCUACCUAUAAGACUGGAAUAACUCCGGGAAACCGGGGCUAAUGCCGGAUAACAUUUAGAACCGCAUGGUUCUAAAGUGAAAGAUGGUUUUACUAUCACUUAUAGAUGGACCCGCGCCGUAUUAGCUAGUUGGUAAGGUAACGGCUUACCAAGGCAACGAUACGUAGCCGACCUGAGAGGGGGAGCGCCCACAGUGGACCUGAGCCCGGGACCAGACCCCUAGGGGAGGCAGCAGGGGGAAUUUUGCCGAAAGGGGCGAAAGCCUGACGGAGCAACGCGGGGGGAGUGAUGAAGUGUUGCGGUUCUUAAAACUUUUUUAUGGGGAAAAAAAAAAUGGGAAAGUAACUGUGCCCGUCUUGAGGGUACCAAAGAAAAAACCCACGGCUAACUCCGU